GAUGAACGCUGGCGGCAUGCCUAAUACAUGCAAGUCGAACGAGAGAGAAUGAGGUGCUUGCACCAUAUUCGAUCUAGUGGCGAAUGGGUGAGUAACACGUGAGUAACCUGCCCUCUAGACUGGGAUAACUUCUGGAAACGGACUGUAAUACCGGAUGUCAUCUGACUACCGCAUGGUAAUCAGAAAAAAGCUUAGAUGCACUAGAGGAUGGACUCGCGGCGUAUUAGCUAGUUGGUGAGAUAGAAGCUCACCAAGGCGACGAUACGUAGCCGACCUGAGAGGGUGACCGGCCACACUGGGACUGAGACACGGCCCAGACUCCUACGGGAGGCAGCAGUAGGGAAUCAUCGGCAAUGGGGGAAACCCUGACCGUGCAAUGCCGCGUGAGUGAAGAAGGCCUUAUGGUUGUAAAGCUCUGUUGUGAAGGAAGAACAUGUUAGAUAGAAUCUAGCACUGACGGUACUUCACC
rnacentral:rRNA from 1 species